rnacentral:rRNA from 1 species
GGAACUGAAACAUCUAAGUACCUGAAGGAAGAGAAAGAAAUUCGAUUCCGUAAGUAGCGGCGAGCGAACGCGGAUUAGCCCAAACCAAUAAAGUUUUCUUUAUUGGGGUUGCGGACAUAUCAUAACGAAGAGGUAUCGUAAUUGAAGAGGUUUGGAAAGACCCACCACAGAAGGUAAUAGUCCUGUAUGUUAAACGAGAAGACUUUAGAUAUGAUCCAGAGUAC